rnacentral:rRNA from 1 species
UACGGGGGGGGCAAGCGUUGUUCGGAAUUACUGGGCGUAAAGGGCUUGUAGGUGGCCAACUAAGUCAGACGUGAAAUCCCUCGGCUUAACCGGGGAACUGCAUCCGAUACUGGAUGGCUUGAAUCCGGGAGAGGGAUGCAGAAUUCCAGGUGUAGCGGUGAAAUGCGUAGAUAUCUGGAGGAAUACCGGUGGCGAAGGCGGCAUCCUGGACCGGCAUUGACGCUGAGGAGCGAAAGCUAGGGGAGCAAACGGG